rnacentral:lncRNA from 1 species
GAAAAGUCAUACAGGUUUGGAAAGACAGGAGGGUAAAGUAAAAGAUGACCAUUUUUAUUUUUUGGUAUACAGUCCUUUUAAUAUUAAACAAUUAUUUGUUUGGUAUUGAUGUAGAAUAGACAUCAGUCAUGAUACUUGUACAUUUUUAUAAUCAUCUCUUUUUGUCUUGCAGUGUCGUCACAUGUGAUGCUACCAGCUCAUGAGUGUAACUCUCCACCAAACCACUCUACACUGACCGGAUCUGGACUGCACAAGAGUCACAUAACUGGAGGGCUUUCUACGGUGGAGGGGGCAGGACUCAUGCCGCACAUAUACACACAAACAUGUGUUCCAGUCCAUUCAAAGGUGAGAAUUCUCAGGGCAAGGGUUACUUACUUCAGCACACACACAUACACACCCAUCCAUGUUGGCGGUGGUUUAUCAGUGAAAGUGGAGCUCUCCUCUCCUACAGAGCUCAUCUGUUCCUGUGCCACCCUGCAAACUCCCUGUAGACAUUAGUGGGCUUUUUACACUCCCCACCCAAGGGGCAGGUGGAACACACACACUCACACUAACCAAACACCUCCUACUGAGU